rnacentral:misc_RNA from 1 species
GAAAUGCGAUAAUUAAUGUGAAUUGCAGAAUUCAGUGAAUCAUCGAGUCUUUGAACGCACAUUGCGCCCCCUGGUAUUCCGGGGGGCAUGCCUGUCCGAGCGUCAUUGCUGCCCUCAAGCACGGCUUGUGUGUUGGGCGUCCGUCCCUGGCAACGGGGACGGGCCCAAAAGGCAGUGGCGGCACCAUGUCUGGUCCUCGAGCGUAUGGGGCUUUGUCACCCGCUCCCGUAGGUCCAGCUGGCAGCUAGCCUCGCAACCAAUCUUUUUAACCAGGUUGACCUCGGAUCAGGUAGGGAUACCCGCUGAAGUUAAGC